rnacentral:rRNA from 1 species
CUGGCUCAGGAUGAACGCUAGCUACAGGCUUAACACAUGCAAGUCGAGGGGCAGCAUGGAGUUGCUUGCAAACUCUGAUGGCGACCGGCGCACGGGUGAGUAACGCGUAUCCAACCUUCCCUAUAGUAGAGGAUAGCCCGGCGAAAGUCGGAUUAAUACUCUAUGUUUUCCGUUGCAGACAUCUAAGAUGGAACAAAGGCUUGCCGCUAUAGGAUGGGGGAUGCGUCUGAUUAGGUAGUCGGCGGGGUAACGGCCCACCGAGCCAUCGAUCAGUAGGGGUUCUGAGAGGAAGGUCCCCCACAUUGGAACUGAGACACGGUCCAAACUCCUACGGGAGGCAGCAGUGAGGAAUAUUGGUCAAUGGGCGAGAGCCUGAACCAGCCAAGUAGCCGUGCAGGAUGACGGCCCUAUGGGUUGUAAACUGCUUUUAUGCGGGGAUAAAGUUCACUACGUGUAGUGUUUUGUAGGUACCGCAUGAAUAGGGACCGGCUAAUUCCGUGCCAGCCGCCGC